rnacentral:rRNA from 1 species
GUGGGGAAUAUUGGACAAUGGGCGCAAGCCUGAUCCAGCCAUGCCGCGUGAGUGAUGAAGGCCUUAGGGUUGUAAAGCUCUUUCAGUAGGGAAGAUAAUGACGGUACCUACAGAAGAAGCCCCGGCUAACUUCGUGCCAGCAGCCGCGGUAAUACGAAGGGGGCUAGCGUUGUUCGGAUUUACUGGGCGUAAAGCGCACGUAGGCGGAUUGGUCAGUUAGAGGUGAAAUCCUGGAGCUCAACUCCAGAACUGCCUUUAAUACUGCCAGUCUCGAGUCCGGAAGAGGUGAGUGGAACUCCUAGUGUAGAGGUGGAAUUCGUAGAUAUUAGGAAGAACACCAGUGGCGAAGGCGGCUCACUGGUCCGGUACUGACGCUGAGGUGCGAAAGCGUGGGGAGCAAACAGGAUUAGAAACCCGAGUAGUCC